rnacentral:piRNA from 1 species
AGACAUGGGGUGAGAGAGAAUUG